rnacentral:lncRNA from 1 species
AUGUCCUGGGAUUACACAUCAAAUAUGUUUACACAACACUCAACAAUCAGCUUGAAACAAAUUACAGUUGCAGGAGACUACGUGGAAAUGAAGAAUUCAGAAAGUGCUCUUCACCACCUAAUACCAGGACAAGAAAGCAGAGGUGCGGUGACUGCAUGCCACAGAAGGAUAGGCUCAGCACCUUUGAGACAUCCCCUGGUACCAGGAAAAAGAAAUCCGCCUGUUCCACAGUCCCUCUUGCAGGAGAAGCCACGAGAAGCGAUACCAGGGCAGCUUAGCUUCAGAGACAUUGUGAGUGAGCAACAAAUGGUGGUUUAUGAGCCGUAUUCCCACCAGCUAUGAUACAGCAUUUUUCCAAUGUCACACGGUUUCAUUUUCCUAUCACAGCACCUGCCAGAUCUUCUCUCAGUCACAGCUAGCCAGACUAAUAGGAUAAAGUUGAGGCCUGCUAGAGAAACCAAAAGUCUUGGCCUUAAAAAUUCAACAUUUAACAAACAAGAUACUAACUAGGACAUUCAGUGGGUAGCUACUGGGAAGACUGAAGUUCCCGUCUUGAACUGUAAUCAUUGAAUGAGGGAUGUGCUUUUACGGAACAGAAACACAAUCCAUAGACUUAUCUGUACAUAGAUAUUAUAUAUAUCUGUGUAUGUACACGCAUUUGCACAAGUGUAAUCAUACACAUUGUUGUUUAUAUAGCAAAGACAAAUCAGGUAUUAAAUUCUUUCACAGACUGGUUAAGAGUGAUUGAAAAUAUCACCAGAUAUUCACAGUAAAUAUCUUGUUCGGUUCAUUAAAGUGAAGUACUGUAGAAGCAGAACAUCACCUUCGAAGCUGUUAAACAGGGUGCUCGCUGGGAUUCAGAGCAGCACUGUGAAAGAGAUUUAAAGCAAGAAGGGUGUUUUUAAAAGUAUACAGGUAAUACCAGACAGAAGUUAGUGUAUCUGAACACAGUAGGGGUGAGGGUUGGUUUUCGCUUUUUUAAUCCUGUGCUGCAUAUUGGUAUUCUGGUUAAGCACAAACUUCUACACGUUUCCAUCUUAACAAUUCAUAACCUAGGCUCUUUCUCUGAGCCACCAGCUUUUGACGGAAAUCUCAUUCGAAUAUAGGGUAAAAACAGAAUGCAUGACCACUUUUUGAUUAAUACAGGCUCUUUAGCAGGCUGUUAAAUGUUAGAAGCACUAUGCCAGAACACCGUUAAAACAGGGGCUUUGUUUUUUCUAUUCUCUUACAGACUGUGAAAACAUUUGCUUGUGAAGGGGCAGAAUCUCUCAUGCUCAGAGGUCAUUCAUUUCUAAGCUGAAAAAUAAUUUUAUUGAGGAGGCUUGCUCAACAUGUAGGGAGAAAAAGGAAAAGCUGACAAAGAAAUGGAAGAACAAGUAAAAAUUACCAUGGGUAUGUGCACCACCCAGCCUUAGGCAUCCAAAUUUAAGGCUCAAUAGAGACAGAUUUGCAACAGAGGUGCUUUCAAUCACUCCCUAAAGGAGAAGCACUGGAUCUGCUGAGCCUGGGCACUACACUACAGCUCCAAACCAGUCUGAGGGCCAAAGCAGUCACUGGUUCCACAGCAGGCAGAGUUGUGCUCAAUUUAAUUACUAAGUAGCCCAGGGAAUCCACAGACCAAAAGCUCAUCCUAAAUAUUUUUUCAAAUUCUCUUACAACGCAUACUGGUUACUGAGGGAUGAUGCAGUCUUCUACAACUAGUUUUAGUACCUUCCAGUUCAUAAAAUCAUAAUAAAAUGGGUCUGAUCUUUUACA